rnacentral:rRNA from 1 species
UACGGAGGGAGCUAGCGUUGUUCGGAAUUACUGGGCGUAAAGCGCACGUAGGCGGCUUUGUAAGUUAGAGGUGAAAGCCCGGGGCUCAACCCCGGAAUUGCCUUUAAGACUGCAUCGCUUGAAUCCAGGAGAGGUGAGUGGAAUUCCGAGUGUAGAGGUGAAAUUCGUAGAUAUUGGGAGGAACACCAGUGGCGAAGGCGGCUCACUGGACCGGUACUGACGCUGAGGCGCGAAAGCGUGGGGAGCAAACGGG